UCGUCCCAUGGAACCCUAGCUAGGGUCCCGCCGCCACCACCCCACCCCUUAGCAUCUCGCCCCCAGCCGCUGCCGCCCUCCCGCCGCCAUAUCGCUGGAAGGCCUCUCCAGUACUUUGCUCGCCGUCGUCAGCCGGAGCACCUCUAGGCCGAACGAUUUCAAUUUCUUGACCAGAAACUGCGUCCUCCCUUAUAUACGUGCGCGUACACACAUCGAGGAAGGAAAAGGCAAGCACCGCGAGGCAAGAGGAGAGGGCGACCAGCUUCGCCACGUUAUCGACGCCGCCGUAGCCGAGCUCGGCCUUGGAAUCAGCAAAGGUGAGGUUGAAGAUUACCUUGCCUCGAGCGGAGGGUGAGGAAGCUGGGAGGAAGGAGACCAAGGAGCUGUUCCCGCAGAGCGCCGGCUUGGGUGGUGUGCAGGAUGCAGCUACCGCUGACGACUACUCCGCGUCAGGCAAACAUCGAUGGUCCAGACUAUAUCAACAGCAUAUACCAAUGAGGUACUCAGCUUUCGGCAAAGUCACAGAUGAUUAUUAAUUCACAGGAAAAUAGAUAGAUAUUGUUUUAACUGCAGCGCAUAGGGCGCCGCCUCCUCACAAUCGUCUUCCGGAGGCUGGGCAGAGGGAGUGCGCUCGAGGAGAAGCGUCCAUGGGUUUGGCCAUGGGGGCCAUACUCGGUGUGUUAGACGUGGUCACGUAAAAGGGUGGCAGAAAAUGGAGGAAGAGAGGGCGACCUCACCUCGGUCGAGAGGUCGGAGGCAAACCAUGGCUCCUCCGUGCUGGAACGGGAGCAUGGUCCUCGUGGUGGCAGCGGUGAGGCCAUCUGCCAGCUACGAUAGUAGAUGAGCUUCGGUGCUCCGGCGGCGUGGUCGAUGAGGAAGAGGCGGCAGAGGGAGAACUCCCA